GACGAACGCUGGCGGCGUGCUUAACACAUGCAAGUCGAGCGGUAAGGCCCUUUCGGGGGUACACGAGCGGCGAACGGGUGAGUAACACGUGGGUGACCUGCCUUUAGCUCUGGGAUAAGCCUGGGAAACUGGGUCUAAUACCGGAUACGACUCCGCGGUGCAUGCUGUGGGGUGGAAAGCCUUGUGCGGCUGGAGAUGGGCCCGCGGCCUAUCAGCUUGUUGGUGGGGUGAUGGCCUACCAAGGCGACGACGGGUAGCCGGCCUGAGAGGGCGACCGGCCACACUGGGACUGAGACACGGCCCAGACUCCUACGGGAGGCAGCAGUGGGGAAUCUUGCGCAAUGGGCGAAAGCCUGACGCAGCGACGCCGCGUGAGGGAUGACGGCCUC
rnacentral:rRNA from 1 species